GAGCAUUGUGCCAGAUAAAAUGGAUCAUCUUGAUGCGGUGAAUUAUAGGAGUUUCCUCGGUGCU
rnacentral:tRNA from 1 species